rnacentral:rRNA from 1 species
UCAGCUCGUGUCGUGAGAUGUUGGUUAAGUCCCGCAACGAGCGCAACCCCUAUUGUUAGUUGCCAUCAUUCAGUUGGGCACUCUAGCGAGACUGCCGGUAAUAAACCGGAGGAAGGUGGGGAUGACGUCAAAUCAUCAUGCCCCUUAUGACCUGGGCUACACACGUGCUACAAUGGUUGGUACAACGAGUUGCGAGUCGGUGACGGCGAGCUAAUCUCUUAAAGCCAAUCUCAGUUCGGAUUGUAGGCUGCAACUCGCCUACAUGAAGUCGGAAUCGCUAGUAAUCGCGGAUCAGCACGCCGCGGUGAAUACGUUCCCGGGCCUU